rnacentral:rRNA from 1 species
AUGCAGGAAAGUUCGCUUUAUUUUUCAUGUAUCCUUUCAAUAAUGCAUCUGAAUGUAAUGUUGUUGUUGUGCUCACUCCCGUCCGCUCUCUUCCCUGCACAUCUUAAUUUUAGCACCAUCAUCUUCCCAACAUGCUUCAGCAUUCUGGUACUGCUUGCAAAAAAAAAAUUCACUCACCCUCCUUUUCCAUCUAUAUUUGUGCAAAGAGAUCGAAUACAAAGUGGUAUAUAUAAGUCCAAACUACCUCUAUUAAUCACGAUCAAACAACCACAUUUAUUUGCCAGUUUUUGGCUCGAUCAAGGUCUUAAUUGUGCUAAUAAUAUUUUGAUAUCUCUCACAGAUAAAAGGGCUCCAGGGAUGGAGGAGAUGUCCAUGCUCCACAUUUUUGUUUCAUGGAUAUUGUGCCACCAUUUGCAUCCUAUACUAGAGUUUUGUGGCUACGAAGAGAAGAUAGGGCGCGAGAUAUGUGUGCAUCACUAG